rnacentral:tRNA from 1 species
UCCCGGAUGAUGUAAUUGGAAGCAUGCGGGGUUUUGGUCCCCGUCGUCCAGGUUCGAGUCCUGGUCCGGGAG